rnacentral:rRNA from 1 species
CUUGACUGUAUCCUGGAAUUGGGUUCGGGCUUUUCUUGCGCAGCCUAGGUGGGAGGCUAUGAAGAUUUCCUUCCGGGGAAGUUGGAGUCAUCAGUGAGAUACCACUCUGUCAAGGCUAGAAUUCUAACCGUCUGCCGUUAUCCGGCGACGGAACAGUAUCAGGUGGGCAGUUUGACUGGGGCGGUCGCCUCCUAAAUGGUAACGGAGGCGCGCAAAGGUUUCCUCAGGCUGGUUGGAAAUCAGCCGAAGAGUGUAAAGGCAGAAGGGAGCUUGACUGCAAGAGCAACAACUCAAGCAGGGACGAAAGUCGGCCUUAGUGAUCCGACGGCGCUGAGUGGAAGGGCCGUCGCUCAACGGAUAAAAGUUA